rnacentral:rRNA from 1 species
GAUUAUGGCUCAGAUGAACGCUGGCGGCGUGCUUAACACAUGCAAGUCGAACGCGAAAGGGACUUCGGUCCUGAGUAAAGUGGCGCACGGGUGAGUAACGCGUGGAUAAUCUGCCCUUAUGAUCGGGAUAACAGUUGGAAACGGCUGCUAAUACCGGAUACGCUCAAAAUGAACUUUUUGAGGAAAGAUGGCCUCUGCUUGCAUGCUAUCACGUAAGGAUGAGUCCGCGUCCCAUUAGCUUGUUGGCGGGGUAACGGCCCACCAAGGCAACGAUGGGUAGCCGAUUUGAGAGGAUGAUCGGCCACACUGGAACUGAAACACGGUCCAGACUCCUACGGGAGGCAGCAGUGGGGAAUAUUGCGCAAUGGGCGAAAGCCUGACGCAGCGACGCCGCGUGAGGGAUGAAGGUUUUCGGAUCGUAAACCUCUGUCAGAAGGGAAGAAACUACGUUGUGCUAAUCAGCAGCGUACUGACGGUACCUUCAAAGGAAGCACCGGCUAACUCCGUGCCAGCCGCGGC